UUUUCCUAAACAUCCAAGUCUUUGACCUAUGAUAACUGUUGCCUUGAUACAUGGACUGUUAAAAAAGAGAAGCACUGGAUGAGUUGGUUGUGUCUUUGUGGACACUCAUUCUGUCCUUCUUUGCUUAGUGUGUGUCUGGAUGUACAGGAAAUAGACAUUGUGCAUAAAUAGAUAUUUAGCACAAAUUAUAAUAAGCACAAUUUUAAAAGCACUUGGUCUCUCACUCUCGCAGGGGCUUGAAAAUUGCCAUGUGAAAGGCAGCCUGUCUCAAACAUACACACAGUAAUGAUAAAAUGUGUUCAAUUCAGAUCACAUGAAUGUCUGUAUGCACUGAUAUUCUUGAGGCUGUCAAAGCUAGCAAAAAUGUUUCCUGAAACUCUAGAGUCCUGGUCCUGUUGGAUUUCCAUGCCACAGGGGUGUUUACCCCAAGGAACUGCUGUGACUCUUUCAACUCUCAUAGUGCAUUCCCAUGCCUCUUUCCCAUACAGUUGUCCGUCAGCUAAAAUGGAUGUCAAUGACCAGAACCAGAAGAAGCAACAACUGUAUGAGACACCUUACCCAGAGAGAUAAGGAAGCACCUCCAGAAAAUCAACAAUGAAAUUUCCUCCUUAGAUUGUAAGAUGCUGGUCCAAGUCUCACCGGAGUGCUGCAUUUAGAAAUGUUUUUGUGUGUAUCUCAACUAAAUGCUUAUUUUCCUUAUGAGAACUUUGAUAUUUUAAAGAAAGCUUUUACAUAUUUUGUAUAUUUUAGCUUCCAAAGACAUUAACUGCCUUUAUAGGGUAUAAGCUCCUAUAAUUUUAGGAAUAUAACUUAAAACAUUCUUUCUUAUAUUUGAUCAUAUUUUGUUUUUGUAUUUUGGAUUCAAGCAAAACCACACCUUAGGUUUUAACACCUGUGACAUUUCAUAAAUUGCAAAGAAUGGAUUUUAAGUAUUUAGUGCCUACAGAUUCUCCUCAAAACAAUAUGAAUGUCUUCAAUAUAUUUUGGAUUUGCUAUUUUUAAAUUAUGGAACUUAGAAACAAUGUAGAUGAAUAAAACUUGGGAAAAAUUACA
rnacentral:lncRNA from 1 species